AGGGUGAACGCUGGCGGCGUGCCUAAUACAUGCAAGUCGAGCGCGAUCUUCGGAUCGAGCGGCGAACGGGUGAGUAACACGUUGGAACCUGCCCCAAAGUGGGGAAUAGCUCCGGGAAACCGGGAUUAAUACCCCAUGUGCUCUUUGGAGUAAAGCUUUAUGUGCUUUGGGAGGGUCCUGCGUCCGAUUAGCUAGUUGGUAGGGUAAAGGCCUACCAAGGCGACGAUCGGUAGCUGGUCUGAGAGGAUGAUCAGCCACAUUGGGACUGAGACACGGCCCAAACUUCUACGGAAGGCAGCAGUAGGGAAUUUUCCACAAUGGGCGCAAGCCUGAUGGAGCAACGCCGCGUGCAGGAUGACGGCCUUCGGGUUGUAACUGCUUUUAUACGGAAGAUUAUGACGGUACCGUAUGAAUAAGGAUUGGCUAAUUCCGCGCCAGCAGCCGC
rnacentral:rRNA from 1 species